AGGAAUAUAGUUAAUUAUAACAUUUAGUUUGCAUCUAAAAAGUAUUGAAUUAUUCAAUUUUUCUUA
rnacentral:tRNA from 1 species